ensembl:miRNA Gm25196 predicted gene, 25196
AGAAGUGGGCAUCUGCUGACAAGAGGGCCGAAGUCAGGGGCCAGGCGGCGGGCACUUUGCAUCUUCGGAACAUCGAUCCUCCUUGACAGCCUUGGGUGUCAGGCU